UUAUUUUAGCGGCGGACGGGUGAGUAACGUGUGGGUAACCUGCCUUUUACUGUGGAAUAAUCGUUGGAAACGACGACUAAUACCGCAUACGGUUCUUGGAAGGCAUCUUCUAAGAAAGAAAGGAGUAAUUCGGUAAAAGAUGGGCCCGCAUCUGAUUAGCUAGUUGGUGAGAUAAUAGCCCACCAAGGCAACGAUCAGUAGCCGACCUGAGAGGGUGACCGGCCACAUUGGGACUGAGACACGGCCCAAACUCCUACGGAAGGCAGCAG
rnacentral:rRNA from 1 species